AACGUAGGAGACGAGCGUUAUCCGGAUUUACUGGGCGUAAAGCGCGUGCAGGCGGUUAGAUAAGUCACUUGUGAAAGCGCCCGGCUCAACUGGGCGAGGCCGUGUGAGACUGUCUGACUUGAGAGAGGUAGAGGCGAAUGGAAUUCCGGGUGGAGUGGUGAAAUGCGUAGAGAUCCGGAGGAACACCAGUGGCGAAGGCGAUUCGCUGGGCCUUCUCUGACGCUCAGACGCGACAGCAUGGGGAGCGAAC
rnacentral:rRNA from 1 species